GAUGAACGCUGGCGGCGUGCCUAAUACAUGCAAGUCGAGCGGACAGACGAGGAGCUUGCUCCUCUGACGUUAGCGGCGGACGGGUGAGUAACACGUGGAUAACCUACCUAUAAGACUGGGAUAACUUCGGGAAACCGGAGCUAAUACCGGAUAAUAUAUUGAACCGCAUGGUUCAAUAGUGAAAGACGGUUUUGCUGUCACUUAUAGAUGGAUCCGCGCCGCAUUAGCUAGUUGGUAAGGUAACGGCUUACCAAGGCAACGAUGCGUAGCCGACCUGAGAGGGGGAACGGCCAAACUGGAACUGGAACACGGUCCAAACUCCUAAGGGAAGGAGCAGUAGGGAAUCUUCCGCAAUGGGCGGAAGCCUGACGGAGCAAAGCCGCGGGAGUGAUGAAGGUCUUCGGAACGUAAAACUCUGUUAUUAGGGAAGAACAAAUGUGGAAGUAACUAAGCACGUCUUGACGGUACCUAAUCAGAAAGCCACGGCUAACUUCGUG
rnacentral:rRNA from 1 species